UACAGAGGAUGCAAGCGUUAUCCGGAUUUAUUGGGCGUAAAGAGCGUGUAGGCGGCCAUGCAGGUCCGCUGUGAAAACUCGAGGCUCAACCUCGAGACGUCGGUGGAAACCGCAUGGCUAGAGUCCGGAAGAGGAGAGUGGAAUUCCUGGUGUAGCGGUGAAAUGCGCAGAUAUCAGGAAGAACACCCGUGGCGAAGGCGGCUCUCUGGGACGGUACUGACGCUGAGACGCGAAAGCGUGGGGAGCAAACAGG
rnacentral:rRNA from 1 species